CGGGAUUGUGAGUGCGCGGCUGUCAGUGGUGCGGCGGCUCAAUAGGAAGGGCGUUAUCUCUGCCUGUUUUCCCCUCCUGCAAUCCCCUGUGUUUCGCAGGGCGAUUUUGUCUCUUCGUAGCCUGACGGAAGACUUUAAGCACCAAUCCAGGAAGAUAUAAGAAAAAAAUAUUUUACAGUGAGGGUGGUGAGGUACUGGAAUAGGUUGUCCAGUGAUGUGGUUGAUGCCCCAUCCAUGGAGACUUUAAAGAUGGAGCUGCCUAAGGUCAUGGAUGUGGUCUCUUGCAACAGUUGAGCUGCAGUCAAAUCACAGAAUCCUGGGAGUUGGAAGGGACUUCUGAAGGCCAUCUGGUCCAACUGCCCUGAAAAGAACAGGGACGUCCACAGCUGGAUCAGGUUGCUCAGGGCCUUAUCCAGCAAAACUAUGGAGCGGAGCAGCGAGAUGUGUUUGUGUCGGCUGAUCUGCAGAGGGCACACAUUGUCCAGGCCUGAGGCAGUAAGUGGUGGUGGCACGGAUCCCCUCAAGUGCUGUGUCACUGGAGCUCCUGCCUCCGUGUGUCCCAGAGCUGAUUCACCACAUUUACCCCAUCCCAGAGGAGCCAGUUGCUGAGCUGCAG
rnacentral:lncRNA from 1 species